ensembl:lncRNA
CUUUGGGCAUCACUUCUUGAACCCAGCAGAAGUAAAGAGAAGAGCAGAGAUUGAAGUGAUCCCUGCAGAAAUUAAGAUUGAAGUUAGAAAUUUCCUUAAGUUUGGGAAAAUGGACAAACGGGGUAGGAAAGGGUCACGAUGGGCGCCUAUAAAAUCCCGAAUAGCACGGAGAAGGCAGAUAGGGAAAGCUGAAAUCUUCUUUCCCAAAACACAAGCAGUGGGGGGUGCCUGGUGGGAUUAUAAAGCAAAAAACAAAAGGAAAGAGCUUUUCCCAGCAGCGUGGAAUUGGUUCUUGGAGCUUUAUUGCCUCAAGAUGUCCUGGAGGCCAAAAGGAGAAACCCUUUCCAAAAGGGUCGAGACAAGGACAGCGCCAAAGGUCUGGAUGCAAACUGGAAUAAAAGCAUCACUUUGUUCUCUGUUUUAGGCUUUUCCCUGGAGUCUCUGUCCUGGCUGGAUGUUGGGAUGGAUGCUCCUCGUUCCCAUGCAGAAUUGCUGUUUCUCUCUCUGUUUUGGGAAGCUGCCAGAUGGUUUCCUCACCCCUGCUCGUUCUCUUCGAGUUCUGGCCCCACAAGAGGACAUCUUCACUCUGUGAGAGGUUUUAAUGUGAAGUCUGGAGGAUUUGGGCACUCUGGAUGUUCACCUGGAAUUGAGCAGUGCAGGAUUAGACCAGGGCUGGACACGAGCCCAGGGGUGCCCAGGUGGGCAAGAGGCCCCUGGCCCCUGGGCUGGGUGAGGAAUUGUGUGUCCAGCAGGAGCAGGGCAGGGAUUGUCCCUCUGUGCUGGCUCUGAGAGGCCCCUCCAGGGCUGGCUCCAGUUGUGGCUGGUGCAGGAGAGCCCNUGGGACAGGGGUACAAGGUAAGUAAGGAGUUUACAAACAGUAAUUGUAACAUCUUAUUCUUAACACCACCCAUGCUUUGGGUGCCUCCUGCUCUGACUUGUGCCACACAGUGAUCCCAAAAUCCACAGGAUCCCACAAAACAUGGCUUUGUUAUCCAUCUGUCAAACAGCCCUGCUCACAGAGGUGAAAAGCAAGAAGGUUUUCAGAGGAGAAGUAGAGCUCCCCUGGGGAUAAUUCUUUGGGUAAUUCCUUGGGCAGUGGAAUCAUCUGCCCAGGGAGGUGCUGGAGUCACUGUCCCUGGAUGUGUUCACGAGAAGCCUGGAUGUGGCACUCAGUGCUGUGCUUUGGUUGAUGAGGAGGUGCUGGGUUAGGUCACAGGUUGGACUUGAUGAUCUCAAAGGUCUUUUCCAACCUAUUUCACUCUGAUUCUGUGAAUUCCAUCUCUGCUGGAGCCAGGGUUUGGAGAUGCCCUCACAGCCUUUUUUAGAUGGGGAAAAGCAGGCUCCUCAAGCCUCUUCCCCAGAGCACCCCGGCCCUUGGGGCUCUGCUUCUCUCACUGAUUAAUAUUUUAAGGUUUGAGCUUUCUCCUGAGAACAAAGGUGGAGCUCCAAGCACAGCAGAUCUCAUUUUGCAGGCAGCUUCCUGCUUUUCUCCAGGGUUUGGUGCUCUGGGAUCAGUGUGAGCCCAAAGUGGUGGGGAUGGCCUGUGACACCAGUGACACUGCUGUGUCAUGAGGCAACACGAGAGCCUCAACAAAUCAGUCUGGCAGCAACAACAGCCCCAAGAACCAGAGCAUCCACAGAGUUCCAGGAAGGUGUUGACCAGCCCUGAAGUCCUUAGUGGAAUAAAACCCUUUUCUUUGGAGGUCA